UACAGAGGUCCCAAGCGUUGUUCGGAUUCACUGGGCGUAAAGGGUGCGUAGGUGGCAUGGUAAGUCGGAUGUGAAAUCUCCGAGCUCAACUCGGAAAUGGCAUUGGAAACUGCCGUGCUUGAGGGUUGGAGGGGGGACUGGAAUGCUUGGUGUAGCAGUGAAAUGCGUAGAUAUCAAGCGGAACACCAGUGGCGAAGGCGAAUCCCUGGACAACUCCUGACACUGAGGCACGAAAGCGUGGGGAGCAAACAGG
rnacentral:rRNA from 1 species